rnacentral:rRNA from 1 species
GUGAACGCUGGCGGUCGGCCUAACUCAUGCCAGUCGAACGGCAGCACAGUAAGAGCUUGCUCUUACGGGUGGCGAGUGGCGGACUGGUGAGGAAUACAUUGGAAUCUACUUUUUCGUGGGGGAUAACGUAGGGAAACUUACGCUAAUACCGCAUACGAUCUACGGGUGAAAGCAGGGGAUCUUCGGACCUUUCGCGAUUGAAUGAGCCGAUGUCGGAUUAGCUAGUUGGCGGGGUAAAGGCCCACCAAGGCGACGAUCCGUAGCUGGUCUGAGAGGAUGAUCAGCCACACUGGAACUGAGACACGGUCCAGACUCCUACGGGAGGCAGCAGUGGGGAAUAUUGGACAAUGGGCGCAAGCCUGAUCCAGCCAUACCGCGUGGGUGAAGAAGGCCUUCGGGUUGUAAAGCCCUUUUGUUGGGAAAGAAAAGCAGCAGGUGAAUACCCCGCUGUUCUGACGGUACCCAAAGAAUAAGCACCGGCUAACUUCGUG